UUCUCUUGGUCUUUUUUUAAAAUUCAAGAUUGUCUUUAUGUAAUUGAACAAACUCGAUUACUUGAAUUAUAAUUUCUUUCUUUUAAUCCUAAUCUAUUUUUGGGAUUAGAUGAAACUCAAACUUCCAUACUUUCAUAUCCUAAAAAACCCACCAAGAAACCAUAGGAUCUACCUUGCAAUUCCAAGUCAAUUCGGAUUGUUUUGUGAAUGAUUCUAAGUGGUUUUGAUCCCAUUAAUUCUCCUACAGCGUGCUCAUGAAUGUGGAAACGACACCCGUUAGCCUGACAAGGAUUUGAUCCAGCCAGACAAUCUUCUAUUGAAGAUAAGUAAUAUAAUUGGGUUCGAGGAUGUUAGGAUGGCGACCCAAAGCUUGAAGUUGUUCGAUUUCAGCCAUGUAAGACGACCUAUUGUUCGUUAUGCCUUGAAUAAUAGCCUCCAUGAUCGAUCUAUGUCUAGCAUCGUCAAGCAUGUGAAGUUACAUCGAGUUUUUAAGCUAGAACAAAGUCAUAGUUGGCCUAUUAUUUGCCUUUGUUGAUUCGAAAAUGGAUGUGUAUAGAUGAAUAUGUGUAUGUAUUAUAUAUGAUUAAGUGAAAGAUUUGAGUGAAUUUUAGUUAA